GACCUUGCACCGCUGCCACCCCCAAGGAACCCGCCCAGUGGGUCUGGCUGGCUCACGAGCCAAGUGACGCGGGUCAGCUGCGCCCCCCGGGACCCCCACGCAUCGCGGGUGCGACCGCCCAGCGCGUGGUCUCCAGAUCUAGUCUUUCCGCUACCCCUCCCCCCACAAUCCCGGAAAAAGGGGGAGGCUGGUGACGUCAUCAUCCGGGCACUCGCCGGCGGGGCCACGGUUCACAAUGGAACAAAAACAAGCGGCCCGAGUCAAACUCUGAGGGACGCAGAUGCGGCUUGCGCGAUUAACCCUGUCCUGACCACACACUCUGCCAGUCCUGGUCUCCCAGCUCCUUCUCCGGCGUGGUGCGCCAGAUCCUUCCGGGCUUCCCUUCCCCCGGUUUUCCCCGUCCUCGUGUCACCUCUGCCCUCACAACGGUCUUGACUUGAGGGGUUUGGAACACAGUUCCUGGUCAUAGUGGGACCCUAGAGGGGCCGGCCGGAAGCAACGGUUGUGCGUGAACCGUCUUUACCGCAUUGUGUUCCCUUCCCCCACUUUAGCUCUCCCGGUUCCAAGCGUCUCUCGCCUGGCCCGGCUUCCCCCGUGGCACGCGCAACUCUCCCUGGCUCAACGGCCCGGAGUGGAGGAGAAGGGAGCAGAAGAAGCAGCUGAGCGAGGGGGGGUGGGUGGGGGGGUGGGGUAGGUAGGAGAUGGAGGAGGAGGGCCAAGGGGUGGGUCCUGUGAGGGGCGGGACUUGACGGGGGGGCGGGGAACCUCACGGUUUUGGGCGGUGCUGGGGCUAGUGGGAGUCUGCGCCGCCGCGCUGCUGCCUCCACCGCCACCAGUGCUGCUGCCGCCGCCGCCACAACCGCCGCCACUGGCCGAGCGGUUUUUUUCUUUUUUCUUUUUUUUUCUUUUUUUUUUUCUUUUUUUUUUUUUUGGUUUGCCGGAUCCGCCAUAUUGGCGAGGACGGGCGUCCGCGGCUGCGGAAGCUAGUCUCCGCCGCCGCCGGAGCCGCAACCUUACAGCACCCGGCCCGUCCGGGCCUCUGCCGUGCGGAGCCCCUCCCCGCGUUGCUCAGCUCACAGGCCUCGCGGGAGCCCGCCGCUGCCGCCUCUCUCCCGGGAGGCGGCCGCCUUAGCCCCCGGUGCUCCGGUCGGCGCCGGGAGCGAAGAGCAAGCCGCAGCAAAGCGACCAGGCCCGGAGCGAGGACAGAGGCGGCGACCAGGGAAAGGUGAAGCCGCCACUGCAGGAGGAGGAGCAGCAGGAGGUGACGCAGGAGAAACGCACCGCCCGGAGCCCCGUCUGAGCCGAGCGAGAGCCCCGGCCCGAGGGAAGAAGGGGGAAGAGGGCCGCCAACGCCGCUGGUGGAGGAGGAGGAGGAGGCGGCGGCCGAGGCCACCGCUACCGCUGCUGCAGAGCGGGCGCGGCGAGCAGCGAAUUCCGGCGCCCCCUGUGCAGCUCCCUGGUGUUAACGGACACUUUGUCGCCCGUCACCGUCGGGCCUGGGAUGCACCCGGGGUCGGCCUUGUUCUAGGACUGAGUGAAUCUCGCAGUUGCCUGCUGCCUCCGCCUGCCCUGGUUCUGAAGACAAGACGCCUGUGUCGUGCGGUUAUGCAAUGGUCUCUGCAAGAUGGUUUAUUCUUGAAUUGGAGCUUUUUAAGACUGACAAAUGCUGGUACUUCAUCUUCUAUAAGUGGACUAUAA
ensembl:lncRNA